GUCAGUGGAGUUCCCCGGCUGGACACAUAAUGAUAGGAAAAAAUGAAGAGAAAUAUCAUUCAGCCUGAAGGAUACCACUAUCCUUAUGAAUACACGCAUUCAAUGCUAUAAUGAAUUGUCUUCUCAGAAUAAAGUGGAAGUGCUGACAGAUUAGAGAAGCAAUUUCACUGACACUGAAGAGGAAUCCAAUGUGACUGAGUACACUGGGGAAAGUAUGCUUAUCCUUAGAAAUU
rnacentral:lncRNA from 14 species